GGCUUCAGGUGACAUACGGCACGGUGCGAGGGGGUCGUACGUCAUGCAGAAUGAUGGUGGAAUACGCUGCGUUGCGUGCGACUUCCCUUCACCGAGCUGGGUCUCUCCGGCC